rnacentral:rRNA from 1 species
GACGAACGCUGGCGGCGUGCCUAAUACAUGCAAGUCGAACGAAGCUGUUUUAACUGGUGCUUGCACCGACUUAAACAACUGAGUGGCGAACGGGUGAGUAACACGUGGGUAACCUGCCCCAAAGCGGGGGAUAACAUUUGGAAACAGAUGCUAAUACCGCAUAACCACAGAAACCACAUGGUUUCUGUGUCAAAGAUGGUUUCGGCUAUCACUUUGGGAUGGACCCGCGGCGUAUUAGCUAGUUGGUGGGGUAAAGGCUUACCAAGACGAUGAUGCAUAGCCGAGUUGAGAGACUGAUCGGCCACAUUGGGACUGAGACACGGCCCAAACUCCUACGGGAGGCUGCAGUAGGGAAUCUUCCACAAUGGGCGCAAGCCUGAUGGAGCAACGCCGCGUGUGUGAUGAAGGCUUUCGGGUCGUAAAGCACUGUUGUAUGGGAAGAAAUGCUAAAAUAGGGAAUGAUUUUAGUUUGACGGUACCAUACCAGAAAGGGACGGCUAAAUACGUGCCAGCCGCCGCCGUAA